CUUGCCAAACAGAACAAACAUUUAAAAACAUUUUAAAAAUUAAGUCGAAUAAGUAAGUAAUGCAAACACCCUCUUAACCUUCCGAGCCCUAGCUCUCAGGCGAUUUAGGCGACCCUACCGCCGGUGCUUCCUUCUCAUCAUCGGUGAUGUGUUCACCUCCGUCAACCAAUUUGUGAUUUUAUAUUCUAGUUCUAGAUUUUCGUUAUGAAUUUGGUUUUGAUUUGUUGAAGGUUAGUCCACAGACUCGCAAAAUGAGAGCUGCCUCUAAAAGAAGGGGUACUGAAAUCAAAUGACAUCUAUAUCAAUGCAGAUAAGGCAUCCGUACAUCGAAAAAAAUGUGUUAGUGCUAUCGUUCCUUUUCAUCUACAGAUUUCGUCGAGAAUCAUUUAACACCUUUCUCCCUGUUCCCAAUUUCACUUGACAUUUGGAUGUCGUGACUGAUCUCUGCAAAUCUGAUUUCGUGAUUUAGAGUGAGGAUAUUUCUAAUGACGUGAUUUUUUAGAAUAUGCUUACUGGAUUUCCUUCUUACUUAAUAUACAUGCAUAUCUCUGUCUUGUGUGAUUUCAGAAGCCCCAACUACAGUAUUAUGUUCGAUUUUGUAUUUGUUGAGCUAAGGGUUAAAUUAGGACUCAUAGGGAGCAAAUUUGUACUAACCAUGUUUCAUUUUUAGGCUUGAACAGCCUUGUUAGGGGAGAACCUUCUUUCCAAAAAAAGAGAUAUGUUUCAUUUUAGGCCGGCUAUUGCAAAAUUCCGUCAUAUUGAAUUUCACAGAGCUAGAUUAAUUUAGUUCAUUGAUCUUUACCAUGUUCAAGUUAGCAGGAGGAUACUUGAGAAAUGUUUGGGAAAUAACAAAUUAUGUUGCUCAACACAUUUCCAAGGACACUUGAUCUUGUUAAAUGUGUGGUAAAUGGGUUCUUGUGGGUUGUUAGAUACCUGAAUAUUGAUUAAUUGCAGAUGUUAAGAACAAGUGCGUGAGCAGUUCUUGCAGAAAAAAGUUAAUUGUCCAGAAGAAGUGAAAUGACUUUGAUAGGAUCAAGAUCAUGUUGGCAAAGAUAAAGAUAACUUAACUUUCAGCUUGCAGUUAUAAAGAUUGAAAUGACUUUCAUUCAUGCCUAUUUGGGAUGAUUUUUUCUGUAACCAUUUUAAUAUGAUGGCAAAACACUUAUUUUUGUAGUGAAGUUGCAUCUUUUUUCCAAUGUAUGCAGCAAAAAUGGAUUUUUUUUGCCUAUCUGUGUAGCCAUUUUUCAUAUUGAUGCAAAUUUAUGCUAUUGUUUUUGGUUGUUAAAAAUGGUAAAAUUAUAGUAAAUCACUCAUUGCUUUUA